CUGAAAUUUGUUAGAAAGAGAUUUCACUGGGAAGUGGCCCAGUGCCAAAUUCAAACUUUAGCCACAAUCCAACAAUCGCAGUUGUAUAUUUACCAGUGGAAACUGAAAGAUUAUGAAGAUUAUGUGAAAAGCUUGUCAAUGCUGCAAAAGACAGUUUCACCUAAUUCUGAAUUAUGCCAUUCUCUGAUUUACAUUGCUCAGCACAUACAUUGUUUGGAAGAGAUUAAAUGUUUGUGUAGAAAUGGUUUUCAUGUAUAAACAUGAUAGACCUGAAAUGGUUAAUCUGGACAGAAAACAGAUGCCCUGUUGCUGUUGAUUUGAGAAAUGAACAGCAAAUGUUUUUUGAUGUUGUUGAUUCUCUUCCACAUGUUGCGUUGUCCAGAAAGAAUAACGAACAUUGGGAAGACAUUGGUUUAUUUGUAAAAAUGUGUAUUUUUUAUGUGAAUUGGGUGGAGACAGCAGAAGACAAUGUCGAAUACAAUCCAACACUGUCUGCAUACCGAAUGUGUUUGCACGGGCCUGCUGUUAAAGCUGUAUGCACAGUCUGUGUGAUUGAUGACACAGAGACCGGUCACUGCUUUCUCUCAGUGUAAGAAGCAGAGUCUCACCCAGCACUGAGAGAAGUCCCUAAGACACUCUGGGCUUUAUCUAAAUUUGAUGUUGGGCUGAUUAAAAAUUGUGAAUCAGUUCAAGUCACUCCAAAGUCUGAUUACAGACCCUGUAAACCUCAAUAUCCUCUAAAAAGAGAGGCUAUUGAAGGUAUAACACCAGUUUUUGAAUCAUUAAGAGCCGCUGGGGUAAUUGUGCACUGUGAAAAUUCUCCUGUGCAUACACCUAUUUUCCCUGUUAUAAAGAUUAAGAAACAUGCGAACAAGACACUGUAAAACUUAUAAAACAUUUGGCUACUGAGGGUUGCAAUGCAAGUUUGUCAAAACUGCAGUUUGUAAAAAGGGAGGUGAUAUUUUUAGGUCAUCUCAUCACUAAAAAUGGCAAAUUUAAUCUGAGAAACUAAAAGAGACAAUUCAAAAGAUUCUAAAGCUUAUUAUGAAAAAGCAACUAAUGUCAUUUUUGGGCAUGUGUUCGUUUUGUCGAAAGUUCAUUCCAAAUUAUGUUAAUGAAGAAUCGCCCCUGAGUGCUUUGGCAACCCCAUGACAAACUGACCUGGAUCCCAGAAGCAGAGAAAGCAUUUAAGAAUAUAUUACUGAUAAAAACAUCACUAACACUGGGGGACUCCCAGACCCAGAGAGAAAUUUUGUACAAACUGCUGAUGAGAGAAUGGGUUCAUGACUUCUGUUCUGUUAUAGGAUCAUGGGGGAGACCUGUGGCCUAUUUUUCGAGUAAGCUCGAUCCGGUAGCGGCAGGCAUGCCAAAAUGCCUGAGAGCUGUUGCAUCUGCAGAAAAAGCUAUUUUAUCUUAAAUGGAAAUUGUGGGGUACUCUGAUGUGACUUUGCUCGUGCCACGCACGGUCUCUGUGAUCCUGUUGGAACAGAAAACAUCCCAUUUGUCAACCGACAGAUGGCUCAGAUAUCUCAGCAGGUCAAGGACGCUCUGCCCAAGCCAGCGGAAGGAGUCUUGCAUGAUAUCAGGUCUUGCUAAUAACACACAGUGGUGAAAGUGGCAGAGAGAGCUACGUGGGUACAUGCAAGUCACUGCAGGAAGGUUCCAGUGCCACCAGAGGGCUACAGCUCAGUAAAGUGAUUGAUCAGCUGCCCCAUGCCAAGGGGGACGUCUGGCUGACUUAGGUGAACAAACAUACAGUGGUGUAUGGGAGCUGAACACGCAGCAACAUCACUGUGUGGGAGUGAUCUGGGGUCAGUUUGGGCCAACGGAUGACAGCGAGGGACUUAAGCUGUUAGAAAACCUACCAUCCGACCACUGCAG